rnacentral:rRNA from 1 species
CGAAGGGGCUAGCGUUGCUCGGAAUCACUGGGCGUAAAGGGUGCGUAGGCGGGUUUUAAGUCAGAGGUGAAAUCCUGGAGCUCAACUCCAGAACUGCCUUUGAUACUGGGAAUCUUGAGUAUGGAAGAGGUGAGUGGAACUGCGAGUGUAGAGGUGAAAUUCGUAGAUAUUCGCAAGAACACCAGUGGCGAAGGCGGCUCACUGGUCCAUAACUGACGCUGAGGCACGAAAGCGUGGGAGCAAACAGGAUU